UUACGACAAUAUCACGUUGAAACACCGGUACUUGUACGAUCACCGAAGUUAAGCAAUGUCGAGCCUACCCAGUACCUAGAUCAGUGACUGCUUGGGAAUAUCAUGUGCUGUAA